GAGGGUAUAGCUCAGUGGUAGAGUGCUUGCCUAGUAUAUGCGAGGUCCUGGGUUCAAUUCCCAGUACUUCCA
rfam:Camelus ferus unplaced genomic scaffold scaffold15160, whole genome shotgun sequence.